rnacentral:lncRNA from 10 species
GGCAGCUAAGGCCCGGUGAGAAAUCGAGCGCAGCGCCGGUGGGCUGGCACUGCUGGGGGACCCAGUACACCCUCCGCAGCCGCUGGUCCGAGUGCUAAGCCCCUCAUUGCCCGGGGCUGGCAGGGCCUGCUGCUGCUCCGAGUGCGGGGCCCGCCAAGCCCACGCCCACCCGGAACUCCAGCUUGCCCGCAAGCGCCGCGCGCAGCCCGGGUUCCCGCUCGCUCCUCUCCCUCCACACCUCCCUGCAAGCUGAGGGAGCAGGCGGCUCUGGCCUUGGCCAGCCCAGAAAAGGGCUUCCACAGUGCAGCGGCGGGCUGAAGGGCUCCUCAAGUGCUGCCAAAGUGGGAGCCCAGACAGAGGAGGCACCGAGAGCGAGCAAGGGCUGUGAGGACUGCCAGCAUGCUGUCACCUCUCAUAUCUAUGCUGACUGAUGGAGUCAAGUGACAGAUUCAGCCCUGUGCUCUGUUCAAUCCACAAUAUCACCCUGGAGAAAAAAAGAGAAAAGAAUGCACGAGGAGCAAACUUUAUCAAGCAGUAGCCACUCACACUAAAA